rnacentral:rRNA from 1 species
UAGGGAAUCUUCGGCAAUGGACGGAAGUCUGACCGAGCAACGCCGCGUGAGUGAAGAAGGUUUUCGGAUCGUAAAGCUCUGUUGUAAGAGAAGAACGAGUGUGAGAGUGGAAAGUUCACACUGUGACGGUAUCUUACCAGAAAGGGACGGCUAACUACGUGCCAGCAGCCGCGGUAAUACGUAGGUCCCGAGCGUUGUCCGGAUUUAUUGGGCGUAAAGCGAGCGCAGGCGGUUAGAUAAGUCUGAAGUUAAAGGCUGUGGCUUAACCAUAGUACGCUUUGGAAACUGUUUAACUUGAGUGCAAGAAGGGAGAGUGGAAUUCCAUGUGUAGCGGUGAAAUGCGUAGAUAUAUGGAGGAACACCGGUGGCGAAAGCGGCUCUCUGGCUUGUAACUGACGCUGAGGCUCGAAAGCGUGGGGAGCAAACAGGAUUAGAUACCCUGGUAGUCCACGCCGUAAACGAUGAGUGCUAGGUGUUAGACCCUUUCCGGGGUUUAGUGCCGUAGCUAACGCAUUAAGCACUCCGCCUGGGGAGUACGACCGCAAGGUUG